rnacentral:rRNA from 1 species
CGCAGCCGCGGUAAUUCCAGCUCCAAUAGCGUAUAUUAAAGUUGUUGCAGUUAAAAAGCUCGUAGUUGAAUUUCGGGGUUAGUAGAUUGGUCAUGCCUCCGGUAUGCACUGGUCUUACUGAUUCCUCCUUCCUGAUGAACCGUAAUGCCAUUAAUUUGGUGUUGCGGGGAAACUGGACUGUUACUUUGAAAAAAUUAGAGUGUUUAAAGCAGGCUCACGCUUGAAUACAUUAGCAUGGAAUAAUGAAAUAGGACGUUUGAUUCUAUUUUGUGGUUUCUAGGAUUGACGUAAUGGUUAAUAGGGAUAGUUGGGGGCAUUAGUAUUCAAUUGUCAGAGGUGAAAUUCUUGGAUUUAUUGAAGACUAACUACUGCGAAAGCAUUUGCCAAGGAUGUUUUCAUUAAUCAAGAACGAAAGUUAGGGGAUCGAAGACGAUCAGAUACCGUCGUAGUCUUAACCAUAAACUAUAGCCGACUAGGGAUCGGAUGAUGUAAUUUUUUAAUGUACUCAUUCGGCGCCUUA